rnacentral:tRNA from 20 species
GCGGGCGUAGUUUAAUGGUAGAACAUGAGCUUCCCAAGCUCAGAGCGCGGGUUCGAUUCCCGUCGCCCGCUCCA